ACAGAAUGAGUGGCUGGCAGAUUGGUUAUGAAAAUAUGGCCCCCGACGGAGAGGGUCGAGAUCCCAGGACACCUAGACUCAGCAGAGCCUCUACAGGCACCCCGCCUCUCUCCAGCGCCCCAGCUGGAGAAGGGGCCCGCACCCCCGCCCACCCGCGAUGCCUAAAGAGGAAGCUGCGUGGCCCCUUGCGUGCUGUGGCUGCUUCUCCCAGGUACAGGAGGCACGUGCGCUUCUGCGUUUUCUCGACAGGCAGCGCUGUUCUAAUGCAUUUACUUACUGUAUGUGUCGGAGUGUUCUGCCUGCAUAAAUGUCACAUAUACAUGUGUGGCUGGAGCCCAUGGAGGUCAGAAGAGAGAAGGAUAACCCAGGCUGUUCUCUAGAGUCUCAAGAGUUUGAGGACCAACCCAGCUGCAAAGCAUCUGUCAUGUGAGGGGCACAUUCAAGGGUUCUGUGAACUCAGAUGUCAUCCUGAGAGUCACCAUUCAUCCCAGCUCCAGCAUCAUUUAAUGAACUUUUACAAAUGUUUCCAUUGGGUACCCCAAAUUCCCCUGAGGAUGCAGAGUGCUUCAUCACCUGUGGGGAGCACUCUCAGACCCCUUGGCAGUAAGUCACUUCUCCUACUCUACCCACCAGAGACAAACACUUGUCUCUUCACUUCCUGCUGAAAAUGAAUUAAUAGCCCUUCAACCUUUGGCUCUGGUUUCUCCUACUUAGCAAAGCAUCACUGGGGUUUGCCCACACUAUGUCAGUAUCAUCUUUUUGAAUUGCUGAGUAGUAUUCAAGCUAGACAAACCUUAGUCAACUUACCCUGCCCCCUCCUGUUGAUGGCAUUAUGAUCUUUGUUGCUGACAUUGUUUAUCCCUUGGCUUGUAAUAACCUCCUUGCCAUUGACCUGUGGACCCAACACAAAAUCACACCCAUAAGCCUUCCAAGAAGCAGUGUGAAGGCUGGGACUUUGAAAAACACUUUGUAAUCCACUGCCACACCUCAGCUCAGGGGGCUGCUCCCUCCUCCCUACUUGUUCAUACUUUGACAUUUGUCCUUAACUGUUUUAUGGUCCUCACUUGUUUAUAGAUUUGACUCCUAUUACUGUUGGCAUGGAGCAAGUUUCUGAAACAGGGGGAUAGAACUUACUUGUGGAAGACGCAGAGGAGCCUGUGAUAAAGUUAGUCACGUGCCAUGAAGCCUGGGUUUCUUUUCAUUCUUACAGUACAGAAAGAUUUGCUUUGUUUCAAAAACAGACAUGACCUGGAGAGCCAGAUAAGCAGGGAGUUCCACUUCCCAUUUGCCCUAUUUUGCUUUUUAUUGCUGUGAUAAACACCAGGGCCCAAAGCAAGUAGGGCCUGAGAGGGUUUGCUUUGCCCUAUGCUUUACAGCCAUCAUCAGAAGACAAGACAGGAACCCAAGUGGGGCAGGAACCUGGGGAGUUGAAGAAGAGGCCAUGGAGGAAUUCUGCUUACUCACUUGCUUUCUGUGGUACAUUCAACUUGACCUUUUAUACAACCCAUGAUCACCUGCCCAGGAGUGGGUCCACCCCUAUCAAUUAUUGAUUAGAAAAUGCCCCACAAGCUCUCCUAAGGGCCAAUGAAAAGACUAGUCAACUGAGGGUCUCUCUUCCCAGAUGACUGUAGUGUGUGUCAAGCUGACACAAUGUUCCAGGCUAACUGGCACAACUGACCUCUUGACAGAUUGACACAGGGACACAUCAUUGUUAAACUGCAAUUUUUCCUUCCUUGGAUAUUCCCAGUAUUUCAUGGUAACACCUUGGUAUAAAACAUAUCAUAACCGUAAAAGCCCCAUAGUCUUUUUACAUUUUAAAAGUCCAUGUUCUUGGCUGGCAAGAUGACUCAGUGGUUAAGAGCACUGACUGCUCUUCCAGAGGUUCUGAGUUUGAUUCCCAGCAAACACAUGGUGGUUUACAACCAUCUGUGAUGGGAUCCAAUGCCCUCUUCUGGUGUGUCUAAAGACAGCAACGGUAUAUUCACAUAUGUAAAAUAAAUAAAUAAAUCUUUAAAUUCCUGCUCCCCU
ensembl:lincRNA